GGAGUGUACGAGAUAGCAAUAUUUUGUAUUACUUAGUGGCGAACGGGUGAGUAACGCGUUGGUGAUCUGCCCCGAAGUGGGGAAUAACAAUUGGAAAGAAUUGCUAAUACCUCAUGUUAUCUUAGAGAUUAGAUGCUCUUUGAUCAAAGGAUUUAUUCGCUUCGGGAGGAGCCUGCGUCCCAUCAGCUAGUUGGUAAGGUAACGGCUUACCAAGGCUAUGACGGGUAGGGGACCUGAGAGGGUGGCCCCCCACAAUGGAACUGAAAUACGGUCCAUACACCUACGGGUGGCAGCAGUAGGGAAUAUUAGUAAUGGGCGAAAGCCUGAACUAGCAACACCGCGUGUGCGAUGAAGGCCCUCGGGUUGUAAAGCACUUUUCGAGAGGAAGAGGAAGGACGGUACUCUCGGAAUAAGUCUCGGCUAACUACGUGCCAGCAGCCGCGGUAAAACGUAGGAGGCGAACGUUAUCCGGAUUUACUGGGCG
rnacentral:rRNA from 1 species